AGUGAACGCUGGCGGUAGGCCUAACACAUGCAAGUCGAACGGCAGCACAGUAAGAGCUUGCUCUUACGGGUGGCGAGUGGCGGACGGGUGAGGAAUACAUCGGAAUCUACUUUUUCGUGGGGGAUAACGUAGGGAAACUUACGCUAAUACCGCAUACGACCUACGGGUGAAAGCAGGGGAUCUUCGGACCUUGCGCGAUUGAAUGAGCCGAUGUCGGAUUAGCUAGUUGGCGGGGUAAAGGCCCACCAAGGCGACGAUCCGUAGCUGGUCUGAGAGGAUGAACAGCCACAACGGAACUGAGACACGGGCCAGACCCCUAAGGGAGGCAGCCGUUGGGAAUAUUGGACAAUGGGCGGAAGCCUGAUCCAGCCAUUCCGCGUGGGUGAAGAAGGCCUUCGGGUUGUAAAGCCCUUUUGUUGGGAAAGAAAAGCAGCAGGUUAAUACCCCGCUGUUCUGACGGUACCCAAAGAAUAAGCACCGGCUAACUUCGUG
rnacentral:rRNA from 1 species